rnacentral:rRNA from 1 species
UACGUAGGGUGCGAGCGUUAUUCGGAAUUACUGGGCGUAAAGCGCGCGCAGGCGGUUUUGCAAGUCAGGUGUGAAAUCCCCGGGCUCAACCUGGGAAUGGCAUUUGGGACUGCCAGGCUGGAGUGCGGCAGAGGAGACUGGAAUUCCUGGUGUAGCAGUGAAAUGCGUAGAUAUCAGGAGGAACACCGAUGGCGAAGGCAGGUCUCUGGGCAUUAACUGACGCUGAGGAGCGAAAGCAUGGGGAGCGAACAGG